rnacentral:rRNA from 1 species
AUGCUUAGGGCUGUUUUGAAGAGUAAUAAGAAAAUGUGGGAGGAAUGCUUGCCUCAUAUUGAAUUUGCUUAUAAUCGUUCAUUGCAUUCUACUACUAAGAUGUGCCCUUUUGAAGUUGUGUAUGGUUUCCUACCUCGUGCACCUAUUGAUUUGUUGCCUCUUCCAUCUUCGGAGAAGGUUAAUUUUGAUGCUAAACAACGUGCUGAAUUGAUUUUAAAAAUGCAUGAGUUAACUAAGGAAAACAUUGAGCAUAUGAAUGCCAAAUAUAAACUUGCUGGAGAUAAGGGUAGAAAACAUGUUGUGUUUGCACCUGGAGAUCUUGUUUGGUUACAUUUGCGUAAGGAUAGAUUUCCUGAUUUGCGCAAAUCAAAGCUCAUGCCACGGGCUGACGGUCCCUUUAAGGUGUUAGAGAAAAUAAAUGAUAAUGCAUAUAAACUUGAGCUGCCUGCAGAUUUUGGGGUUAGUCCCACUUUUAACAUUGCAGAUUUGAAGCCUUAUUUGGGUGAGGAAGAUGAACUUCCGUCGAGGACGACUUCAUUUCAAGAAGGGGAGGAUGAUGAGGACAUCAAUACAAUUGUUACACCCACAGGCCCUGCUGCUAUACAUACUGGACCAAUUACUAGAGCUCGCGAAACAGACCCUCGUGGUCAGGUUGAUCGUGCUCCGGCGUGGUCAAUAACCUCUCGGAGUUGGUUUAGCGAUUGCUAA